GAUACUUUUUACAAAACAUUGACAUGACACGUAAUAAAAAAAGCAUGUGUCAGGUUCACAAAAUUUCCUGUCAACAGGGCGGACGUAUUAUGAAUUUUCUGAAAUUGUCCCCGCCCGAAGUAGUUCAAUCAUGCAGGGUUAUAAGAAACAAUGGGUGCGCUCUAUGGAGGGAAUGCAGCAGUGAAUCAGGACCGGGCUCCGGGGCAGGCAAGGGGGGCGGGGCGGGAGGAUCUGUUAAAGAAUCAGGUGGAGGUCUGGGUCGCUACGCAGCUGCUCAAGAAGAGGGGUUCUUCUACAACAAACAGAAAGAGCAGAUAGAGAAGAUGAAACAGAAACUCAAGUCAGAAGAGUCGACGAAGACGCAGCCGAAGGAUAAACCAGAAAAAUAAAUUAUGAUUUAUACGUAUAUUAUUAUGAAGUGCAGUGACUCUGUAUGAUUAAAUGAAGAAGUGAAA